AAUGGAAGCACGUGCACCUGAGGCGCAGCGUCCACUGGUUCCUCAGCCUCGCCCGCCUCACUUCUAUGACCAGUACACAGACAGGCCCUAUGGAUUGCCGCGUGCAAUGGGGGGACAUCCACCAUUCCGUGCUGAACAGAGACACUCACCAUCACCUCUGAUGUUUGCAGAGCUGCAGCCUGCUCGAAAUCCACCUUUGCCUGUUGUUUACGGAGAGGUCCGUGCACAAAGUCCUUUUC